rnacentral:lncRNA from 1 species
ACUCGAGUCAACUCUAUUAGGGUUCGAGCCGCUCUAGUAUGUAUGCCACCAGUAAAUGCUGCCUUCUAUCCUUCUAUUCGAGCCAGCUCUAUCAGGAUCUGAGCUGACUCAACCUAGAUUCGAGCUAGCUCAACUCUAGUCCUGGAUUCGAGCUGACUCGAUCUAUAGUCAAGCCAGCUCGACAGCUAUGUCAUUCAUUGGUGUCAGAUGCAUAGCUCUCUGUCUACUGUUCGAGCUGGCUCUCGCAGAGCUCAAGUCGGUUCGACUGCUGGCUGAUGCUCCUGAUGCUUCCUUCACCCCUUAGUCUUUCUUCAUCUAUUCCCAAGGUUUAAGAGCACCACAUCUGAGCUCACACAUGUAUCCU